rnacentral:rRNA from 1 species
GAUGAACGCUGGCGGCGUGCCUAAUACAUGCAAGUCGAGCGAACGGACGAGAAGCUUGCUUCUCUGAUGUUAGCGGCGGACGGGUGAGUAACACGUGGAUAACCUACCUAUAAGACUGGGAUAACUUCGGGAAACCGGAGCUAAUACCGGAUGAUAUUUUAAACCGCAUGGUUCAAAAGUGAAAGACGGUCUUGCUGUCACUUAUAGAUGGAUCCGCGCUGCAUUAGCUAGUUGGUAAGGUAACGGCUUACCAAGGCAACGAUGCAUAGCCGACCUGAGAGGGUGAUCGGCCACACUGGAACUGAGACACGGUCCAGACUCCUACGGGAGGCAGCAGUAGGGAAUCUUCCGCAAUGGGCGAAAGCCUGACGGAGCAACGCCGCGUGAGUGAUGAAGGUCUUCGGAUCGUAAAACUCUGUUAUUAGGGAAGAACAUAUGUGUAAGUAACUGUGCACAUCUUGACGGUACCUAAUCAGAAAGCAACGGCUAACUACGUG